rnacentral:rRNA from 1 species
UACGUAGGGUGCGAGCGUUGUCCGGAAUUAUUGGGCGUAAAGGGCUCGUAGGCGGUUCGUCGCGUCGGCUGUGAAAACCCGGAGCUCAACUCCGGGCCUGCAGUCGAUACGGGCAGACUAGAGGCAUGCAGGGGAGAACGGAAUUCCUGGUGUAGCGGUGAAAUGCGCAGAUAUCAGGAGGAACACCGGUGGCGAAGGCGGUUCUCUGGGCAUGUCCUGACGCUGAGGAGCGAAAGUGUGGGGAGCGAACAGG